GAGUCUUGCCAUUUGCAGACUACCAUUCUAUCAAAUCAAUUUGAGCUUUUAUCCAAUUAUUUGCACUCUUAUUUGUUUCAAUUCAACAAAUGUUUUGCAUGUUUUAAAUUGAUAAAAUGUCAUUGUUUUAAACAAAUCAAAUUUUUCAAAAUUUUUGUUUUAAACAAAGUGAACAUUCACAAUAUUGAAAGGAUACUCAAG
rnacentral:lncRNA from 1 species